AGGCCAGCCAGAAGGAGCUAGAAAGGGUAGAGGAACUCUCUGCCUGCCCUUCAGCUUGGCAACUUCAUCAGGAUCACAUUUCACUGGCUGUACACUGCUCACUUCCGGACUACUGCAUAAGAGAUCCUGGAUCUCUGCCAAGAGCCAGCAGGAGGACACAAUUGGCAUCAUUGGUUGUAUUAUCAAAGCUUUGACUGGAAUGUCAUAUUUGAGAGAAGCAUUGAUAGACCGGAUAUGACCAGACAGCUUUUAAAGAACAAACAUUGGACUUUAUGAAACAAAGGCACUUGGAAAUAUUGGCCUAGUAUCUUGUUCACAGGAUUUCCAGCAACCUAACCAGGCCUAAUUUUGGGAGGCCCCCUGCAUCAUCCCCUCCUGAAGUGUAUUUGACUGGCCUAAUCUAUUAUCAAGACUAUAAAAUGUGCUCAAUGAAAUGGAA
rnacentral:lncRNA from 1 species